rnacentral:sRNA from 1 species
GAGAGCAGAACUUUUCCCGUAGAGAGAAGUCAGCUCCGGCGUUUCGGGGAGGAAACGCUCUUUAAUUUACAGAAUAAAAAGCUCGCCGGGUUUAUCCCCCCAGGCGGGCUUUUUUUUAC